CCAUGUUGAGAGCACACUUGAGUAGUCCUAUGGAGAUUCUUCUGGACAGGGAGAAAUAAAGGCCUUCAGUCAAUAACCAGGAGAGUGUGCCAUGUUGGAACAGGAUCCUUCAGUUCUAGGCAAACUUUCACAGCUGCAGCCCCAGACAACAUCCUGCUUAUAACCUCAUGAGACACCUGAAGUCAGAACCACCCAGGAGGCAGCCUGUCUGAGGUAAGCUCAGCAAGAAAGACCUGUGGAUGGUGAAUUUCGGUUUGUGGAGAAACUAAAACAUUUCAUGGGCCAUAUGAAUCUUCUAGUGGAUUGAAUUUAAAUGGACUGGAUGAUUUUUAACUCCAGGCACAGAGGCUGAUUAGAACAGUGUCAGAAGCAAUGUAUAAACAGGAUGUUGUGAGUUGCUGAAAAUGGAACAAUUACAUUAUAAACUUUUAGUGGCUUCCAGAUGAUUGGCAUCUUACUUCGUGAUGAAGACUAUGUGCUCCAGAAGCAGAUGCUGAGUAAGAUUUGAGGUGCGGACCCUACACAGCCUUGGAUAACCUGACGGGGAAUCUUUAGAGGGAUAUUAAUCAAUGUGAUAGUCUCACCUGAACCAAAUCAGCUAACCAAGAUUCACGCCCAACAGUGAUGGAAAACAUAGGGAUGUCUUUCAUGGAGUCCAGAGUCCCUGAUCACAGCUUAGGUGAAAGACUGAAGAUCUGACUUGAUGACAAAUCAGAAUCUCCCGUCAGGAUUUUGAAUCUUGGGCAGUCACAUACAUGAGGUGGCUGAGGAUGGAAGACCUGACGGUGGAAUCGUGGAAAGACUACUUGUGAUUUCCUGCCAUCGAGACCCCUGAGGAUGCUUAUUCAGAUGAUUUAAUAGACUUUCUGGGGACUGAAUUGUUCAUCCUAUAAAAGGCCAACAUUAAGAAAUGUGAGAAAGUGCUAGAAAGUUUAGACUUCUAAAAAGUUUUUCAGAAAUCCCAGCGUGUCAGCUACUUCAACAAAAACAACUUCCGCCUGGGAGAUUAACCUGAAAAAGCAUAUCUUCAGGCUGGAUUUGUCAUGAUCCCCAUCUCUGGCUAUCAGGAAUCACUAUAAGUCAUUAGAUAUUGAAGUUGUCUGACAAGUUCUUAGUCACACUCUUAAGCUUUUGUCUCAGCUGGAAGAGGAGAAAUGAGUACAAACCUAGGGUUCAGGGUUAGUGCUUAAAUCAGUGUAAUCAUAGUAUUUUUCUGAGAUACCAUUCUGUGGUUUCUAGGUCCUGGUGGGUGGACAACCUCAUUUACUGAGAACACUUUGCUCAGUGCUAUCUGACAUACCAAAAGAAAUGGAGAACUUUGUUAAUCUUUUUUAAAUUUCUAGCCACAGAAUUUUAAGCCUCUUCAGUUGGCCUUGGAAAUUGUACAAUAACAUUUGUGAAAUAACUUUAUGGACUCAAUGUGUCUAUGAAAAUGCAAGGGAUUUUUAUUGUUAUCAAAGGCCAUUUUUGCUGACCUCUGUGUAACAAAAUCAUCUCUGAUCAUUCAAACAUCUUGUGGCCAAUAAAAAGUAGGCCAAUAAAAAGGUCAGAUUUGUGAGCCCUGGGGAAGCCA